GAUGAAAAUCAUUCGGCAAAGAUAUUGAUGCAGUGUGAUAUAUAUUUUUCUUUUAGCCAAAUAGUGAAAUGCACUCAUGGAGUCUCUAAAAGUGUGACAAUCAUUUCAUUGGUUGAGGCUCUUCAAAGUAGUCCUUGUCAAAUAGAAAAGCUGGUUGAUUUGGCUAACAUUAGAGCUACAGAUGAUAGAUGACAUGGUUCCCCUGUCUCAGGAUGCUGCUGCCAGUUCAAAUUGUGUUAAAUUCUUUCCAGAAUCUCCAUUCCUGAAGCAUAUCAAAACCAUUUUGUUAUUUAUCAAUUUGAAACUUGAUUAGUUAAAUGAUAGUACAAUUCAUAACACUUACAUGUCCAACAAGGUUUAACACUUUUGAAUGGUUGAUAAAACCCUCUAUUCUUCUUUCCACAUAUUAUCUCCAGCAAUAAUAAAUACCAAACCCAAAGACACUACCCAGCAAGAAGUGGGUUAAGUUGAGCUUUUGUUUUGGUCUUAUCGCUUGGGUACGCAAUCGAUCAAGAAGUGGAAUUUUUACCAGUAUUUCUUCUCUGAU
rnacentral:lncRNA from 1 species